rnacentral:misc_RNA from 1 species
UGUGGGAGGGGGCUUGCCCCCGAUAGCGGUAGUUCAGUCAGUUCAUCAGCAACUGACCCACCGCCAUCGGGAGCAAGCCCCCUCCCACU